GACGAACGCUGGCGGCGUGCCUAAUGCAUGCAAGUCGCACGCGCUGCUUUCGGGCAGUGAGUGGCGCACGGCUGAGUAGCACGUGGGAACAUGCCCUUCAGUGGGGGAUAACACCGCGAAAGCGGUGCUAAUCCCGCAUACGCUCGGGUGACCGAGGAAAGCCGUAAGGCGCUGGUGGAGUGGCCCGCGGCCCAUCAGGUAGGUUGGGGGUACGGGUACGUCCU
rnacentral:rRNA from 1 species